rnacentral:rRNA from 1 species
CGGUGAAUACGUUCCCGGACCAUGCACACACCGCCCGUCAAGCCAUGGAAGCCGGGUGUACCUAAAGUCGGUAACCGUAAGGAGCCGCCUAGGGUAAAACUGGUGACUGGGGCU